UUGUUUUGGAUUUAUUAUGAUUAUUACUAAUAUUAUUAUUAUUAUUAUUAUUCAUACACUUUCUUAUUCCUUUACAGAAAUUCUCUCCAUUCCCUGGUUGACCAAUGCAGUGAAGGUGGUUUUCAACAGAAGAGGCGGCGGUCCCUCAGUCCAGAGGUUCAUGAACAGAUAGCAGCAGAAGUCUGUGAUACCAUACUCACACACACACUGGAGCGGUUCUCCUUCACAGACCACCUCGUUAGUGCCACAUUGCUGCAGGCAGACAGGUUUGAGCAGUAUACAGUAGCUUUUCCAGAAGAUGCACUUAGCAGGACUCUGAAAGCCUAUCCUGUGCUCGAUGGAAGUAAGCUAAAGACAGAGCUCAGUCUCAUCUACUCCAAGGAGCCUGCUGAGUCUUUUCAGAGACUGUAACUCUCCUAAAGAUUCUGGUAACUACGCCUAUGACCACAGCAGAAGCUGAGAGGUGCUUCUCAACUUUGAAAAGAAUAAAAACUUUUCUGAGAAACAGCAUGACCCAAGAGAGGCUGAAUGCAUUGGCCAUGCUGUCAAUAGAGAAGAGACUAGUGACUGAGAUGACUGACUUUAACCAAAAGGUCAUUGAGAAAUUUGCAAGCCAGAAAGAAAGGAGAGCAAAAUUUAUUUUCAAGUAGUGCUACUGGCCAGUGAUUAGGCAACAUCUGUGUGUGUCUGUGCGUGUGUUUAUUGAUUACUUCAUUACUGAUAAUAAACCUAAAUUGAACUAAAA